AUGGCCAACGCUCAUGUUAGCAUGAACUUCAACGCGUUCCUAGAGAAAACCAAGCUGAAAGAUGAUGGCAACAACUAUACGGACUGGGUCCGGAACCUGAGGAUCAUCCUCAUAGCUGCCAAGAAAGCAUAUGUCCUAGAAGGACCGCUAGGUGAAGCACCCAUCCCAGAGAACCAAGACGUUAUGAACGCUUGGCAGUCACGUGCUGAUGAUUACUCCCUCGUUCAGUGCGGCAUGCUUUACAGCUUUGAACCGGGGCUCCAAAAGCGUUUUGAGCAACACGGAGCAUAUGAGAUGUUCGAGGAGCUGAAAAUGGUUUUCCAAGCUCAUGCCCGGGUCGAGAGAUAUGAAGUCUCCGACAAGUUCUAUAGUUGUAAGAUGAAGGAAAAUAGUUCUGUCAGUGAGCACAUACUCAAAAUGUUUGGGUUGCACAACCGCCUGUCCCAGCUGGACAUUAACCUCCCGGACGAGGCGGUCAUUGACAGAAUCCUUCAGUCGCUCCCAUCGAGCUACAAGAGCUUUUUGAUGAACUACAAUAUGCAGGGGAUGGAGAAAACCAUUCCUGAAGUAUUUUCAAUGCUGAAGUCGGCAGAGGUAGAAAUCAAGAAAGAACAUCAAGUGUUGAUGGUCAAUAAAACCACCAAGUUCAAGAAGGGCAAGGGUAAGAAGAACUUCAAAAAGGACGGCAAAGAUGUUGCCGCGCCCGGUAAGCUAGUUGCCGGGAAGAAGUCAAAGAAUGGACCCAAGCCUGAGACUGAGUGCUUUUAUUGCAAAGGGAAGGGUCACUGGAAGCGGAACUGCCCCAAAUACUUAGCGGACAAGAAGGCCGGCAACACUAAAGCAGGAGCUGUGGAAUAA
rnacentral:rRNA from 1 species